rnacentral:tRNA from 1 species
GCCCCUAUAGCCAAGCGGUAAGGCUGUUGGUUGCAACCCAAUGAGCGUAGGUUCGAUUCCUAUUAGGGGCU